rnacentral:rRNA from 1 species
GACGAACGCUGGCGGCGUGCUUAACACAUGCAAGUCGAACGGAAAGGCCCUGCUUUUGUGGGGUGCUCGAGUGGCGAACGGGUGAGUAACACGUGAGUAACCUGCCCUUGACUUUGGGAUAACUUCAGGAAACUGGGGCUAAUACCGGAUAGGAGCUCCUGCUGCAUGGUGGGGGUUGGAAAGUUUCGGCGGUUGGGGAUGGACUCGCGGCUUAUCAGCUUGUUGGUGGGGUAGUGGCUUACCAAGGCUUUGGCGGGUAGCCGGCCUGAGAGGGUGACCGGCCACAUUGGGACUGAGAUACGGCCCAGACUCCUACGGGAGGCAGCAGUGGGGAAUAUUGCACAAUGGGCGGAAGCCUGAUGCAGCAACGCCGCGUGCGGGAUGACGGCCUUCGGGUCGUAAACCGCUUUCGCCUGUGACGAAGCGUGAGUGACGGUAAUGGGUAAAGAAGCACCGGCUAACUACGUG